UUUGGUUAAGUUAGAAAGGGCGCACGGUGGAUGCCUUGACACUAGGAGUCGAUGAAGGACGGGACUAACGCCGAUAUGCUUCGGGGAGCUGUAAGUAAGCUUUGAUCCGAAGAUUUCCGAAUGGGGAAACCCACCAUACGUAAUGGUAUGGUAUCCUUAUCUGAAUACAUAGGGUAAGGAAGACAGACCCAGGGAACUGAAACAUCUAAGUACCUGGAGGAAGAGAAAGCAAAUGCGAUUUCCUGAGUAGCGGCGAGCGAAACGGAACAUAGCCCAAACCAAGAGGCUUGCCUCUUGGGGUUGUAGGACAUUCUAUACGGAGUUACAAAGGAACGAGGUAGACGAAGCGACCUGGAAAGGUCCGUCGUAGAGGGUAACAACCCCGUAGUCGAAACUUCGUUCUCUCUUGAAUGUAUCCUGAGUACGGCGGAACACGUGAAAUUCCGUCGGAAUCUGGGAGGACCAUCUCCCAAGGCUAAAUACUCCCUAGUGAUCGAUAGUGAACCAGUACCGUGAGGGAAAGGUGAAAAGCACCCCGGAAGGGGAGUGAAAGAGAUCCUGAAACCGUGUGCCUACAAAUAGUCAGAGCCCGUUAACGGGUGAUGGCGUGCCUUUUGUAGAAUGAACCGGCGAGUUACGAUCCCGUGCGAGGUUAAGCUGAAGAGGCGGAGCCGCAGCGAAAGCGAGUCUGAAUAGGGCGUUUAGUACGUGGUCGUAGACCCGAAACCAGGUGAUCUACCCAUGUCCAGGGUGAAGUUCAGGUAACACUGAAUGGAGGCCCGAACCCACGCACGUUGAAAAGUGCGGGGAUGAGGUGUGGGUAGCGGAGAAAUUCCAAUCGAACCUGGAGAUAGCUGGUUCUCCCCGAAAUAGCUUUAGGGCUAGCCUUAAGUGUAAGAGUCUUGGAGGUAGAGCACUGAUUGGACUAGGGGUCCUCAUCGGAUUACCGAAUUCAGUCAAACUCCGAAUGCCAAUGACUUAUCCUUAGGAGUCAGACUGCGAGUGAUAAGAUCCGUAGUCAAAAGGGAAACAGCCCAGACCGCCAGCUAAGGUCCCAAAGUGUGUAUUAAGUGGAAAAGGAUGUGGAGUUGCUUAGACAACUAGGAUGUUGGCUUAGAAGCAGCCACCAUUUAAAGAGUGCGUAAUAGCUCACUAGUCGAGUGACUCUGCGCCGAAAAUGUACCGGGGCUAAAUACACCACCGAAGCUGCGGAUUGAUACCAAUGGUAUCAGUGGUAGGGGAGCGUUCUAAGGACAGUGAAGUCAGACCGUAAGGACUGGUGGAGUGCUUAGAAGUGAGAAUGCCGGUAUGAGUAGCGAAAGACGGGUGAGAAUCCCGUCCACCGAAUGCCUAAGGUUUCCUGAGGAAGGCUCGUCCGCUCAGGGUUAGUCAGGACCUAAGCCGAGGCCGACAGGCGUAGGCGAUGGACAACAGGUUGAUAUUCCUGUACCACCUCUUUAUCGUUUGAGCAAUGGAGGGACGCAGAAGGAUAGAAGAAGCGUGCGAUUGGUUGUGCACGUCCAAGCAGUUAGGCUGAUAAGUAGGCAAAUCCGCUUAUCAUAAAGGCUGAGCUGUGAUGGGGAAGCUCCUUAUGGAGCGAAGUCUUUGAUUCCCCGCUGCCAAGAAAAGCUUCUAGCGAGAUAAAAGGUGCCUGUACCGCAAACCGACACAGGUAGGCGAGGAGAGAAUCCUAAGGUGUGCGAGAGAACUCUGGUUAAGGAACUCGGCAAAAUGACCCCGUAACUUCGGGAGAAGGGGUGCUUUCUUAACGGAAAGCCGCAGUGAAUAGGCCCAAGCGACUGUUUAGCAAAAACACAGCUCUCUGCGAAGCCGUAAGGCGAAGUAUAGGGGGUGACACCUGCCCGGUGCUGGAAGGUUAAGGAGAGGGGUUAGCGUAAGCGAAGCUCUGAACUGAAGCCCCAGUAAACGGCGGCCGUAACUAUAACGGUCCUAAGGUAGCGAAAUUCCUUGUCGGGUAAGUUCCGACCCGCACGAAAGGUGUAACGAUUUGGGCACUGUCUCAACCAGAGACUCGGUGAAAUUAUAGUACCUGUGAAGAUGCAGGUUACCCGCGACAGGACGGAAAGACCCCGUGGAGCUUUACUGUAGCCUGAUAUUGAAUUUUGGUACAGUUUGUACAGGAUAGGCGGGAGCCAUUGAAACCGGAGCGCUAGCUUCGGUGGAGGCGCUGGUGGGAUACCGCCCUGACUGUAUUGAAAUUCUAACCUACGGGUCUUAUCGACCCGGGAGACAGUGUCAGGUGGGCAGUUUGACUGGGGCGGUCGCCUCCUAAAGUGUAACGGAGGCGCCCAAAGGUUCCCUCAGAAUGGUUGGAAAUCAUUCGUAGAGUGCAAAGGCAUAAGGGAGCUUGACUGCGAGACCUACAAGUCGAGCAGGGACGAAAGUCGGGCUUAGUGAUCCGGUGGUUCCGCAUGGAAGGGCCAUCGCUCAACGGAUAAAAGCUACCCCGGGGAUAACAGGCUUAUCUCCCCCAAGAGUCCACAUCGACGGGGAGGUUUGGCACCUCGAUGUCGGCUCAUCGCAUCCUGGGGCUGUAGUCGGUCCCAAGGGUUGGGCUGUUCGCCCAUUAAAGCGGUACGCGAGCUGGGUUCAGAACGUCGUGAGACAGUUCGGUCCCUAUCCGUCGUGGGCGUAGGAAAUUUGAGAGGAGCUGUCCUUAGUACGAGAGGACCGGGAUGGACGCACCGCUGGUGUACCAGUUGUUCUGCCAAGGGCAUAGCUGGGUAGCUAUGUGCGGAAGGGAUAAGUGCUGAAAGCAUCUAAGCAUGAAGCCCCCCUCAAGAUGAGAUUUCCCAUAGCGUAAGCUAGUAAGAUCCCUGAAAGAUGAUCAGGUUGAUAGGUUCGAGGUGGAAGCAUGGUGACAUGUGGAGCUGACGAAUACUAAUAGAUCGAGGACUUAACCAUAAAA
rnacentral:rRNA from 1 species